GAAAUUUCUGAAUUUUCUAUGUACCAAGAAAAGAACAACUUCUAAAAAUUCAUACCGACUUGAUUUAUAUAGCUUUGAUAUUUCACUUUCCAAUUGUUAUGGGAGGAGUCAAUACUGGCCCACAAGUCCACAACACUGGAAGCUAGCUCUGAUACGAAAUUAACCGAAUGGCGAUUGAGGUGGGUGUGCGGUUCAUCUUCUUCAUUUAACCCAACAUUGUUAGCUUUCCUACCUCCCAGCCACACGUCUUUAUUGUAUCCCCCUGAUAGAGGCCCAAACCCAUCUCUUAUUUUCUUAUUGCAACCGCCGCUUUGCUUCUACUUGGUGUCUGUAUGACAUCUCGUUCAAAAUUCCCAGUUCUUCCUUUGGUUCUCUCAGUUUCUGUUGUUAUCUGUGAAUCUUGAGCUGAAUUCUUUGAAGUUUAAAGGGUUUGUUUUGUUUUUCAUUUGGUGAAUUGGGUCUCUCUCAUUUCAUCUCCAAAAUGAAGGUCACUGUGGUUUCACGCAGUGGUAGAGAGCUCGUUAAAGGAGGCCUUGGGCUUAAUGAUUCGGCUUCUGUGGCUGAUCUGCAGGAGGCAAUUUAUAAGCGAAACAGCGGCUGACCCUGCCUCUUCCACCGGGAUCAAAGGACAGGCCUAUUGCCCUCAAUUACAAGAAGAGUCUUAA
rnacentral:misc_RNA from 1 species